AAACUUUUAAUGAUUCCCCUAGUAACGGCGAGUGAAGAGGGAAGAGCCCAAGAUUGAAAGCUGGUGCCUUCGGCGUCCGCAUUGUAAUCUCAAGAAGUGUUUUCCGCUUCGGACCGAGCCUAAGUCCCUUGGAAAAGGGCAUCGUAGAGGGUGAGAAUCCCGUACAUGGUUCGGAGCGCCCGAGGCUUUGUGAUACGCUUUCCAAGAGUCGAGUUGUUUGGGAAUGCAGCUCAAAAUGGGUGGUAAAUGCCAUCUAAGGCUAAAUAUUGGGGAGAGACCGAUAGCGAACAAGUACCGUGAGGGAAAGAUGAAAAGAACUUUGAAAAGAGAGUUAAACAGUACGUGAAAUUGCCAAAAGGGAAGGGUAGGAGGUCAGAGAUGCGGUCUGGGAUUCAGCCUUGCUUUUCGCUUGGUGUUUUUCCCAGUUUGCAGGCCAACGUCGGUUUUGGGCGCUGGAGAAGGGUGGGAGGAACGUGGCACCCCUCGGGGUGUGUUAUAGCCUCCCACUGGAUACAGUGACCGGGACCGAGGACAGCAGCGUACUCGCAAGAGCGGGCCUUCGGGCACCUCACGUCUACGGACCGUUGA
rnacentral:rRNA from 1 species